UAUGCUAAUAUUUUGAGAAGGACCUGUAGAUGUUUUCUGUUAUCUCCUCUCACUCCUGCUAAUCAGUGUUAAUUAGUCAAUCUCCCUCAGUAUUCCUCAGUCUCCUUUCCACCAGCUGCACCUGAUUUUCACCCUGAUUAUCCUCCUCAGUUCAUUGGUCCUUACUCCACUUCCCUCAGUUUUUAAACUCUCUGUGUUUCAUUGCUCUCCUGAUAUCUACCUGUAUACUACCCUACUUGCUUCCUGGCUCCUUGUCUGCUGCACUGUCUGGCUUACCCAUGGCUUGGAGGAGGCUGAGCAGAUUUUCCGUGAAGCGUGGGAGGUUGUUUGUCAACAGUUACCUCCAUGUCAGUCUCAUCUCCAACUGUCUCCAUGGUUGGAACGUCUCCAGAGCCACAACAACAGCUCCGCCAGUUGCUGUAAUGCUCUCCCAAACUCCUCCGUGGCUCAAAGGCUGCAGAACUUCUCCAACCUCCAGACACGGUUCUCUGAGGGUCCUCUAUGCUCCUUCAUGACACCGGCUUCCAGACCAGAUGUUCUCCUGUUCAUGGUUCUGUUAUCCCUGGUUCCUGAAUUUCUGUGUCCUAAGUUUAGUCUUUGUUUGAUUAAAUGUAUCCAUCUAUGAUGUGCCUGUCAAUGUCCUACUGCCGCUUUGGUCCUUCACCACUGCAAACCACGACACAAGGUGGGUAAGGUACCAUGAAAUUGUACCAAAGUAAAGUAGCAUUUAUUAGAAUUAAAAGGUAUGGUGCAGUAAACAUCCUUGAAGUCCUUUUUUUUUUUUUUUAAUGUUACUCCAGUCACUAUAACCAAGUUACUCAGUUUAGCUGAGCAACUAGUUACUGUCCACUGACCACUGGUCUCUUGUGAUUUGGUAAAAUGUUGUUUUUUAUAAUUCUGGCUCCAUGCUAUCUUAUCUGGCCUUUGUUAGGUACUUGCUGUUCUUCAUUUGUCAUUGUUCCAUCAGUACUGUGUGUAUUGCUUUUACAGUUUCAAAUGUUUUGCUUGUGAUUUGUAGCCCUACUAUACUCUCCUCAUAAGACAUUAAAAUUGCACUUGCCUUACUUUAAA